AGUGAACGCUGGCGGUAGGCCUAACACAUGCAAGUCGAACGGCAGCACAGUAAGAGCUUGCUCUUACGGGUGGCGAGUGGCGGACGGGUGAGGAAUACAUCGGAAUCUACUUUUUCGUGGGGGAUAACGUAGGGAAACUUACGCUAAUACCGCAUACGACCUACGGGUGAAAGCAGGGGAUCUUCGGACCUUGCGCGAUUGAAUGAGCCGAUGUCGGAUUAGCUAGUUGGCGGGGUAAAGGCCCACCAAGGCGACGAUCCGUAGCUGGUCUGAGAGGAUGAUCAGCCACACUGGAACUGAGACACGGUCCAGACUCCUACGGGAGGCAGCAGUGGGGAAUAUUGGACAAUGGGCGCAAGCCUGAUCCAGCCAUACCGCGUGGGUGAAGUAGGCCUUCGGGUUGUAAAGCCCUUUUGUUGGGAAAGAAAAGCAGCAGGUUAAUACCCCGCUGUUCUGACGGUACCCAAAGAAUAAGCACCGGCUAACUUCGUG
rnacentral:rRNA from 1 species